rnacentral:lncRNA from 1 species
ACUCUGUAGAUUGACCUUGAACUCAGAGAUCUGGAUGCCUAUCUCCUAGGAUUAAAGGUGUGUACCACCAUGCCUGGACUUAAGCUUCUCUUCACCUAGAACUUUCUCUUUCUCAGGGUGGCCUUGAACUCAGAGAACUUUAUUUACUGGGAUUAAAGAUGUAUGCCAUCAUGCCUAGGACUAAAACUGCAUAGGAUCUUGCCCCAAAGUCCCACUCCCUUAAUUUUUUAUCUCCUGGAACACAGGAUUCACCUCCAUUUCAUUUUCUAGUGCCCCCUUUAAUACCCAAACCAUAUAUUUUAUAUUUUUCCUUCUAAGCUUACUACACUUGUUCAAAGUGCUCUUAAUGAGACUUAACCAGAGAACAAAGUUUCUGCUAGCCUUUUUUGAUACUUCCUUUGUCAAUGCAAUUAAUAUAAUUCUCUUUACCUUAGCCUCAGGUAUACUCUUCAGACAAGAGCAAAAAGUAGCGACAUUCUUCACCAAAAUACCAUAAAAACAGUCUCUAUGCUACAUACUGAAAUGCUUCUCUCUGAACCCUUUUGGGCAGGGUCUGCAUAGUUCAAAUUACUCGUUCAGAGGUUCAGUCCAUUAUCAUCAAUAGAGGAACAUGGCAGCAUUCAGGAAGGCAUGUUGUGGAGGAGCUAAGAGUCUUCAUCUGAAGGCUGUUAGCACAAUACUCAAGAAAUUACUUUCAAGGUAAGCGUGUAAGAUGCCAAUGAGUUCCAGUGAUGAUAUCAAGCUUUCUUGGGUUUCCUGAACCACUCAGUUUGAGAAAAGCCAGCUUCUCCAUGAGGCACUGUUGUGACAGAGUCCACAUGGCAGCACAAUUUUCUGCCAACAACCAUUGAGACAGUUCAAAAGUUGUUCUUUCACCAGUUUUACCAGAAGGCAAGCCCUCCUGGAAGACUUUGAAGCAAAGUCAAUUGACCCAGCUAUCCCCAAUGCCUGAUCCACAGACCUGUUAUGUCUACUCUAAUUCAGGGUAUUGUGUUCCAUAGCUGCAGCUGAGUCCUGUACAGAUAUUUGGAAGUACAAUGAAGAGCAAGGUGACUCAAUUGUACUUUUGAUAAUGCUUGUAUUAUAUCCUGUUUCUCACUGAAACUGAUUCUCUUUAUCUUUUUUUGUGAAUCACAAAGAAGCUAUGAGGAUGAAGCACUUUAGUGUAAUAGAAGGAAUUCAGGACAAAGGAAAGAUUGGAAGUUCACUUCUCUUCUUGAACUUCAGUUUAUUCAUUCAUGGAAAAAAAAGCCAUGGCUAU